AGAGUUUGAUCAUGGCUCAGAUUGAACGCUGGCGGCAGGCCUAACACAUGCAAGUCGAACGGUAACAGGAAGAAGCUUGCUUCUUUGCUGACGAGCGGCGGACGGGUGAGUAAUGUCUGGGAAACUGCCUGAUGGAGGGGGAUAACUACUGAAAACGGUAGCUAAUACCGCAUAACGUCGCAAGACCAAAGAGGGGGACCUUCGGGCCUCUUGCCAUCGGAUGUGCCCAGAUGGGAUUAGCUAGUAGGUGGGGUAACGGCUCACCUAGGCGACGAUCCCUAGCUGGUCUGAGAGGAUGACCAGCCACACUGGAACUGAGACACGGUCCAGACUCCUACGGGAGGCAGCAGUGGGGAAUAUUGCACAAUGGGCGCAAGCCUGAUGCAGCCAUGCCGCGUGUAUGAAGAAGGCCUUCGGGUUGUAAAGUACUUUCAGCGGGGAGGAAGGGAGUAAAGUUAAUACCUUUGCUCAUUGACGUUACCCGCAGAAGAAGCACCGGCUAACUCCGUGCCAGCAGCCGCGGUAAUACGGAGGGUGCGAGCGUUAAUCGGAAUUACUGGGCGUAAAGCGCACGCAGGCGGUUUGUUAAGUCAGAUGUGAAAUCCCCGGGCUCAACCUGGGAACUGCAUCUGAUACUGGCAAGCUUGAGUCUCGUAGAGGGGGGUAGAAUUCCAGGUGUAGCGGUGAAAUGCGUAGAGAUCUGGAGGAAUACCGGUGGCGAAGGCGGCCCCCUGGACGAAGACUGACGCUCAGGUGCGAAAGCGUGGGGAGCAAACAGGAUUAGAUACCCUGGUAGUCCACGCCGUAAACGAUGUCGACUUGGAGGUUGUGCCCUUGAGGCGUGGCUUCCGGAGCUAACGCGUUAAGUCGACCGCCUGGGGAGUACGGCCGCAAGGUUAAAACGCAAAUGAAUUGACGGGGGCCCGCACAAGCGGUGGAGCAUGUGGUUUAAUUCGAUGCAACGCGAAGAACCUUACCUGGUCUUGACAUCCACGGAAGUUUUCAGAGAUGAGAAUGUGCCUUCGGGAACCGUGAGACAGGUGCUGCAUGGCUGUCGUCAGCUUGUGUUGUGAAAUGUUGGGUUAAGUCCCGCAACGAGCGCAACCCUUAUCCUUUGUUGCCAGCGGUCCGGCCGGGAACUCAAAGGAGACUGCCUGUGAUAAACUGGAGGAAGGUGGGGAUGACGUCAAGUCAUCAUGCCCCUUACGACCAGGGCUACACACGUGCUACAAUGGCGCAUACAAAGAGAAGCGACCUCGCGAGAGCAAGCGGACCUCAUAAAGUGCGUCGUAGUCCGGAUUGGAGUCUGCAACUCGACUCCAUGAAGUCGGAAUCGCUAGUAAUCGUGGAUCAGAAUGCCACGGUGAAUACGUCCCCGGGCCUUGUACACACCGCCCGUCACACCAUGGGAGUGGGUUGCAAAAGAAGUAGGUAGCUUAACCUUCGGGAGGGCGCUUACCACUUUGUGAUUCAUGACUGGGGUGAAGUCGAAACAAGGUA
rnacentral:rRNA from 1 species